GAUGAACGCUGGCGGCGUGCCUAAUACAUGCAAGUCGAGCGAAUGGAUUAAGAGCUUGCUCUUAUGAAGUUAGCGGCGGACGGGUGAGUAACACGUGGGUAACCUGCCCAUAAGACUGGGAUAACUCCGGGAAACCGGGGCUAAUACCGGAUAACAUUUUGAACCGCAUGGUUCGAAAUUGAAAGGCGGCUUCGGCUGUCACUUAUGGAUGGACCCGCGUCGCAUUAGCUAGUUGGUGAGGUAACGGCUCACCAAGGCAACGAUGCGUAGCCGACCUGAGAGGGUGAUCGGCCACACUGGGACUGAAAAACGGCCCAGACUCCUACGGGAGGCAGCAGUAGGGAAUCUUCCGCAAUGGACGAAAGUCUGACGGAGCAACGCCGCGUGAGUGAUGAAGGCUUUCGGGUCGUAAAACUCUGUUGUUAGGGAAGAACAAGUGCUAGUUGAAUAAGCUGACACCUUGACGGUACCUAACCAGAAAGCCACGGCUAACUACGUGCCAGCCGCCGCGGUAA
rnacentral:rRNA from 1 species